UACGUAGGUGGCAAGCGUUGUCCGGAUUUACUGGGCGUAAAGGGCGUGCAGGCGGUCUGUUAAGUCUAGGGUGAAAGCUCCCGGCUCAACUGGGAGAGGUCCUUGGAUACUGGCGGACUUGAGGGAGGCAGAGGAAAGUGGAAUUCCCGGUGUAGUGGUGAUAUGCGUAGAUAUCGGAAGGAACAUCAGUGGCGAAGGCGACUUCCUGGACCAAUACUGACGCUCAGGUGCGAAAGCGUGGGGAGCAAACAGG
rnacentral:rRNA from 1 species